rnacentral:snRNA from 1 species
UACCCUCUAUUGCACAGUUCUUUUC